CUGAGAGAUUUGCUAUAGUUUAAAAUUGGCAGCUGGUCGGGAGAUGAAUGCCAAGCAAAGUGAGUGUACAGGAGAUUCCUGCUGUUUCUGCAGGGAAGCAUCCCUGGUACCACAGUAACCAGAGCCGGCUGUUUACAGUGAUCUGCAUUUCCAUGAUCUCCCCCAGCAGUCCAGAGCCCUGCCUUCCACAAUGGAGGAUGACUUUUGGUCUCUGCAGCCACACGCCAUGUUCUUACACAACAGCUGUUCUACUCAGGAAAUACUCACGGAUAUUAAAAUCAUGUGCGAUCUGCUCCUUUCUAAAAAAGAUGUUUUUUGUUAACAAAUGGAGGGCCCCAUUCUUCCCUACAAAGAAUAACCAACAUAAAGGAGAGGAAAGUCUGUGAGUCGUUAUCCUUGACCUGCUGAAGUCAAUGGAAGUUUUGCCACUUAUGUGGGGACAGAAUUUCACCCCUGGCAUUUCCUUUGAAGUUUUCCAGUUUCCUUCCCCACAGUGGAAGGACACAGAUGCACUGCUCUUUUACUCUGCAGAUUCCUUCAGAGGAAACAAGGUAGGAGAUGUGCAUAAAUGUCUUUUUGCUUCCAUUCUACUGCCUCUUCCAACUGGGCUCCUGCUGGCCCCUAGAGAACACAACUCCCACAGGAACUGUGCGUCCAGGGAUUCUUUCUGCUAUGGAUGCCAUCAGAAUCUCUUAUGAAUUAGCGUUUGCAAUAGGGAGAGAGAAACAAUUGUAAAUGAAGAUAGCCUCAAGAUAUAUAAACUUUUGCCUAUUACCCUAGCAGAAUCCCCUGCCCUGCAUUGCCCCACCCCUCUCCUUUCCUUUCAGGUCCAGGCAGAGGAGUUGUAAAACAUUUGGGACAGGGUAACAUGCUGCCAGUCAAACUCCUCCUUUCUGUGGGCACUGGCUCCUCACCAGGCAUAUGACAUGAAGGCGAUCGAAUUAGUAGCUCAGAAAAAAUAUACCUGGAAGGGGAGUGGGGUUAGCUACCACUAUCGGGUGGCUAAUGAUGAUCAGAACUUCAUGUGUCUCCUGACAGCCUUGUCAGAGUUACUCUUGGAGUUUAAGAAAGAUGAUUACUAACUAUAUACAGUACAUUGCCUAAAUAUUAAAGCUAUAUCUACUUUCUGUAGCUAUUGUGAGUAAUAUGAAGUUUAUAGAACAUGUAUAAACCAAACUAACACAGAAAAAUAUAUUGAGCUAAAACUUAAUUUAUAAAUUGUAAGCCUGGGCAAUUGCCUCUCAGCUGCACCACCAAAACAAAGAUUAUGAUUAUUAAGCCAUUUUUCACUAGGAAAAAGUCUCUCAGAAAUGGCUUAGAUUUUUUUGUCCAGAUAGAAAAUAAAAUGGCCUAAUUAAAAAAAGUAAAAUAUUGAAUGUUGGUAUG